GGAGACUGACGGGCAUUCAUUCUGUCACCAGUUUGCAUUACAAUAGAACGUACUCGUAGAUCUGUGGCAGCUGGAGUCCGUAGCCUACAAGCGCUCGCAUACAAAAUACAGACAUCUGCGGGUUAAUUCCUCGUGCCAUCCAAACACUCCUUUGUCCAGGCUUCAGUCUUGUUAUUUACUUUCCAUUAUUAACCGCCCAUCAGAGGCAGCUGCUCCGCUCUCACCCGACCUCUCUGCUCAAGGCAAACUGACGCACUCCACGGGUAAAUUGGAAUAGGUUUUUGUGCGCUCGGCAUCACAAAACCAUUGAUGAUAAAGAUUCGCUUUUCAUUCCGAAUAUCUAUACUAUAUAUCACUGACAAUUUUGUACAUCGCUCAUUCUACCCGAAGAGGAUUAGUCGGACACAGUUGGAGCCCUUUAUCGCGCCAUCCUUGCUGACACAGAUGGUGCGAGACAGGUGCAUUUUGGACCGAUGGUCAAACUUGCAUCAAUGCAAAAGUGGCCAAACCCACAGCCCAGCUGGCAGGAGGCACGUCCCCAUGACAACUGAGAUUCCCUGGGGUCCCCGAUGGACUGAUGAAUACAGGAGUAGGGAGACAGGUAUGCGUCCAGUAUAUCCACACAUAUUGAAGGGGUUCUUCUAAAGACAGAGGAUUAACCACUACUAUUGGUGGUAAUGAUGUCUUGUAGGCUCCGUUCCUCCAUUAAAUUUGUAUUGACUAUUGUUUUUAUUAGGGGAGCUACCGAAGCAAGAUAUUAAUUUCAAUUAGGUCAGUGUAAGGUAAAACAUUUCAAAUAAGAUUUAAAAAAAAGGUUAAUAACUGUUUAGUAACUGUUCCUAAUCACCUAUGAUUCUGGGAAUUUUAUUAACCCUUCCCUCCUGCAUCCCAUGGUAUCUUUAGGCAGUAGUCAAGUCCAACGGUCCAGCCUCUCUUUGGUAGGGUUUUGGGGGCAGGUGUUCCAGGGGGUUGCGUUCCACUUUCUGCUGCUUGCUGCUCUGUGUUUCUCUCCAGAUAUGCUGAGGAGGAUACUGAGAUGGUGCCAGCCCUCAGAUGCCAUUUAGACGAGUCAACAACAUGACCAGACUGACAGAGCUGUCUACAAAGCUGUUUUCUAAACAGUUGUCAACGCGGUUCAUCCUUACCGAAUUGGAACUGGGACAGGAACUGGGACCUAUGGCUUUCACCCACUGACGAAUGAACAUUACUACAAGGCUACUGACGGAGCACACUUCUUUUGCUAUCGAUUUGUGUUAGAAGGAGAUCUUACAGUGAUUAUUAUUGUUAUUAUUAUUAUUUGGAAGUACCAUUGGCAUGUUGCUGGCCCCUUUAAUUGUAGUCUAUUUUAUGCCGACGUCAUUCAGGACGUCAUUCAGGACCACAUUUCAUGCCAUAAGAGAGACCCAUAAAGGGUGGGGUUUUAGUGUUGUCUGAUGCUUUGGCGCUUUCAUUUCUUUAAAUAUUGUUUACCUGAGGGAGCUCUCUCCCCUCCACUGUAAAAUAACACUUUAUCAUCCCCUUCCACACUGUUCAGCUGAUCAAAGCAGCGAGAGACUAACACCUCUCUCUGAUGCCUGCUUCUCCUCAUGCUGUCAGCACCUUUCUCUUCUCGGUAACCUUGGCAACACUUUUAACACCUUACUCACUUCCUUCUACCUCUGAUGUCUAACAUGACUAACAAGGUUGAGUCUGCUAAGAUGGCCUUCCUGCUAAUUUAAUUGAUGUGCUCCUAAAGGCGUCAGCAUGCUUCAGUUUGGCUGACGCCUUCCCGAAGUUGGCUAGGCAAACCGAACAAGUGGGCUUGCAUCCUCCCUUAAAAGAUCUUCACUUGGAAAACAAUAAAAAAGCGACAAUAGUACCGAUUGUCCAUUUUGACAUACCGUAGCCAGUAUAAACUUACUCAAAAUAUUCAGAAUGAAUCUAAGAUAACUCAAGAAAUCCGUCAUACAAUUUGACGUUUUUGCAGAGAUCUUAGUCGCGCAAUUUGACAUCUAAUUGAGAUGUCUGGUGCAGUAUUUCUCAAUGAAAACAUUUGCAUGAAAACAUGUCGUCUCUCGUUGAAUUACAACAAAGACUUUAUUGAAGAAUCCCUACUGUUGACCAAUCACCAACGAAGGAGCGUAGAUUUCGGCUACCGACUUUGGCUUGCCUCUAGAAAAAAUGUUGAGCUCGAACAGCCGAAAAAAACAUUGCUAAAGUCCAGAGCUAACAAAAACAUCACAAAAUGAUGUCAUAAUAUAUGCACAAAUUCUAUUGAACUGUUUUGGCUGGGAAGCAUGCGGACGUCUUAACCCAGUUGACAUACCCAUACCACUCCAGCAGCUCAUGCUUGUUAUCGUUAGUCUACUCUAAUGUUACAGGAGUGUUAUGAGGAUGUUAUGACUUUAAUAGGGUUGUGUCAGUGUUUGUGGCGGUGUUUGGAUGGUCUCCCGAGGCCUGGUUUGUCUUGUGAUUUCUGCAUGUACUGCAACUCCCAAUAACCUCAGCUAGAGUCAUAUAGAACUAACCAACACCAGAGUAAUCCUGGUUUGCUAACCUGGACUAACAAUCUAACAGUCACUAAUCAAGAUAAUCAACCAAACUAAACCCCAAGCCCCGUUGAGGGUAGGACGGCUCAUUUGAAUGGCCGGAACGGAGCAAAUGGAAUGUUAUCAAACACAUGGAAACCAUAUAUUUGAUAUAUUUGAUACCAGUCUAUUCAUUCUGCUCCAGCCAUGAGCCCUUCCUCCCAAAUUAAGGUGCCAACAAAGUCCUGUGGUGUAGGUGUACAUUUUGAGUUUAAGAGUGUGGCUCUUAGUGUAAUUAAUUUCCUUACCCAUUGAAACCAAACCAUCAGCUCUCUUGGCAUUCCUUAAUAAAUACACUAACAAAUACCCUCUAAUACCUAACAGUACUAAUGUCUGGUAACAGACAUUUUGUUACUUACACUAACCUGUACUAUACUAACUUGUACCUCUCCCAUUUUCCUGAAACCUUUCUUCCACCAGACACAGAUCACCCAAAAUCAUAUACAAUAACUAUGUAUUUAUCUAUCUGUCAUAACCUUAAGCUCAGUAAGUUGCUUGUUGAGAUGUUUUACUUUUGGCCCCUAAAGCACAACGGUGAGAAUGAUUCCAGGAUCUGGGAUGGGAAGCUGGAUUAACCAAUAGAUUUAAAGACAAAGCGCACCUACCUACCUGUAGCUCACUGGGUUGACCACACACUUCUGCUCAGGGGACGCCUAAAAACAUGUUACAAAUGUUUCAGUAACUAUGCUAAAGAAUUGUAUUAUUUUUUGUCAAAAGUGUUCCAUCUUAAUAGUUUAACAAAUAAUGGCUGACAAAUGUUUGUCCCCCUGUCCAUUGUGUGGCCAACCUCUAAAAGGUAUUGCAGCUCAGUGCUUGGUUUGUAGCCUGCAUAGACACAUGUGUAUUCUCUUAUUAGAUAAACCAAAGCAAAUAGCAACCCUUACCUGUUUUACUACUAACUGAGUGGUGACUGGUAUAUGAACAACAACCCUGGAUAAGGCCUAAUACUUUGGCCAUUGAUUUCUUGCUCUUACAGUAUGUUAGUAUCUUCUCUCAGACUAACACGUGGUGCUUCUUUCAAUGAAGUCUAACCAUGCUGUGACCAACUUAUCACCCAUCAUUUCUCCCUGCCCCUUGGUGAGAUCAAACAGCAUCUAGUAGGCCAUGCAGUAUCGUUUCUUUACUUCCUGAGUCGUCAUGAGGAUAGACAUCCCUGUGUCCUUGAUCGUGUGACACUUUACUUAACCUGCACUAGAGUGAGAAAGCACUAACUAUUGGGGCAUGAAACAGCUUCCCAGAAACUAACAAACUAACUAACCUACUAAUUAACUAAUUAUCUAACAAACUAACUGAAAUGACUAAUUGUGUACUGAGAGUUAUCAGGUUUGGAGGUUUAUGUUCAGCAAUCCAUCCCCUCUCUGGUGUGUGUGUGUGUGUGUGUGUGUGUGUGUGUGUGUGUGUGUGUGUGUGUGUGUGUGUGUGUGUGUGUGUGUGUGUGUGUGUGUGUGUGUGUGUAAUGUAUGCUGCAACUAGCUCUGACAGUCUCACGUCAGAAUAGACGUUCAUCCAUGUUUAUCAAACAUCACAUUUCAAAUUUCAGUGUUUAAGGCUAAGGUUAGGUAUCAACUACGAAUGGUUAAGGUUUGGAAUAGGCUUAAAACAAAAAUCUCAAAAACAACUUCAUAUUGAGGGAUUUGAACACGCAACUUUUGGGACACGAGGCAGAUGCCAUUUGCUAUCUGCCAUCCCUACCUAUAACCCCCUAGAAAAACUGAAACCUACUUGAAUCUAACAGCGCUCACUGUUGCCCUUAGAGGCCAAUUUCCACAUCAUCUCCCGACGUCCUCAGACAUGGAAGGACGUUGAAUAUUGACUUGUAUCGAGGAUGAUCUGGCUAGCAGACCUGUGGUUAUUAAUACUAACCUGUACGUACUGUGGAUGAUGUUGGCUGGGCUUGUAAUUUCAAACACAUUAACAUUAACUACUCUUUGCUUUGUGCACCGAGUCUGAGACAGAAUCUUCUCCCAUUUUCCUGAAACCUUUCUUCCACCAGACACAGAUCACCCAAAAUCAUAUACAAUAACUAUGUAUUUAUCUAUCUGUCAUAACCUUAAGCUCAGUAAGUUGCUUGUUGAGAUGUUUUACUUUUGGCCCCUAAAGCACAACGGUGAGAAUGAUUCCAGGAUCUGGGAUGGGAAGCUGGAUUAACCAAUAGAUUUAAAGACAAAGCGCACCUACCUACCUGUAGCUCACUGGGUUGACCACACACUUCUGCUCAGGGGACGCCUAAAAACAUGUUACAAAUGUUUCAGUAACUAUGCUAAAGAAUUGUAUUAUUUUUUGUAAAAAGUGUUCCAUCUUAAUAGUUUAACAAAUAAUGGCUGACAAAUGUUUGUCCCCCUGUCCAUUGUGUGGCCAACCUCUAAAAGGUAUUGCAGCUCAGUGCUUGGUUUGUAGCCUGCAUAGACACAUGUGUAUUCUCUUAUUAGAUAAACCAAAGCAAAUAGCAACCCUUACCUGUUUUACUACUAACUGAGUGGUGACUGGUACUAACAACCCCAGAUGAGGCCUCAGAAUUUGGCCAUUGAUUCUUUGCUCUUACGCAGGUUGACGUUUAUUGUCAUGAGUCUUGUCCUGAAGGCAGAACUGACCGAUUUCCCCUUAGAUAGGCCAGCUGCAAAGUCAAAAUGGUCUAUAUUGUAAAAAUAAAUGUUUUUGUUUUUUGGUCAUUAGCACUAACAUUGUGGGUAAGGAUACAUUUAACAUUAGGUUUAACAUCAGAUUUCAUGACUUUGUGGUUGUGCUACCUAGUGACCACUCUGCAGAGUGAACUCCAGAACAACAUUCAUGACAAAAAACACUAACCUGCUGCUCUUACUAACAUACUGUAUCUUCUCUCAGACUAACAUGUGGUGGUGCUUUCAAUGCUGUCUAACCAUGCUGCGACCAACUUAUCACCCAUCACUUCAUCCUGCCCUUUGGUGAGAUCAAACAGCAUCUAGUAGGCCAUGCAGUAUCGUUUCUUUACUUCCUGAGUCGUCAUGAGGAUAGACAUCCCUGUGUCCUUGAUCGUGUGACACUUUACUUAACCUGCACUAGAGUGAGAAAGCACUAACUAUUGGGGCAUGAAACAGCUUCCCAGAAACUAACAAACUAACUAACCUACUAAUUAACUAAUUAUCUAACAAACUAACUGAAAUGACUGUUGUGCUGAGAGUUAUCAGGUUUUGGUUCAGCAAGCCAUCCCCCCCUGUGUGCGUGUGUGUGUACGUGUGUGUUGCGCGUGUGUGUGUGUGUGUGUGUGUGUACAUUGAUUCUCAAACUGUGUGCAUGAUGCCGUCAUUGUUUUUGUCUGAAUGAGUGUUAAGGAUUCAGCAUGCUCCAGUUCGGCUGGCGCCUAGCCAAAUUCGGCUAGGUGAACCGAAUGAGUCUGCCGCAUACUCCCUUAAAAGACCUUUGCUUGAAAAUUUGAAAAAGCAGCAAUAGUACUGUUUAUCAAUUUGAGAUGCCAUAGCCAGUACAUGCUUCCUUAAAAUAGUCAGAAUUAAUCGAAGAUAAUUCAGGAAAUCUGUCAUUAAUUUAGACUUUUUUGCAGAGGAGAUCUUAGUCAUGCAAUAGUACAUCUAAGAUUUUUGGUGCAGUAUUUCUCAAUUAAUAAAUGUGCAUGAAAACGA